rnacentral:lncRNA from 1 species
AGUUAUGGACUUGAAAAUUCAUAGUAUGAUUUAAUUUGUUGAGUUAUAAGAAGAAACUGUUUCAUUUUCUUUCUGAAUGCUCAGAGAUGCAGGGACUAGUGUAUGGUUGUUAUGUAGCGUUAAAGGGUAUCUAUUAACUUAUGAAGUUCCUUCUAGGCUAUCAUUGCUUUAAUAAUUUUGUUGCCUAUGGAAUGUUAGUAUGCACUCACACACAACAACACCACAAUGGAAGAAGAUUUAACACACUUGCUCACACAAGUAAUUCAGGGAAGCAAUAUGCCACAACUAAAAAGCCAUGAUAAUCUACACCACCAUUGUGAACUUUGUUUUUUGGAUCAUGAUU